rnacentral:rRNA from 1 species
UACGAAGGGGGCUAGCGUUGUUCGGAAUCACUGGGCGUAAAAGCGCACGUAGGCGGCUUGUUAAGUCAGGGGUGAAAUCCUGGAGCUCAACUCCAGAACUGCCUUUGAUACUGGCGAGCUUGAGUCCGGGAGAGGUGAGUGGAACUGCGAGUGUAGAGGUGAAAAUUCGUAGAUAUUCGCAAGAACACCAGUGGCGAAGGCGGCUCACUGGCCCGGUACUGACGCUGAGGUGCGAAAGCGUGGGGAGCAAACAGGGA